rnacentral:lncRNA from 1 species
UGGUUAAGGCCAGACGAAGUCUCUAAAUCUCUAAAAAAUCUUUAACAAGUCAACACAAAGAUAAGUAAAGGUAAAUUUCAAUCAUGGACGUUCUCUAAUUGAAUAAUUUACUAGGGAUAGGAAGUCGCUUCGUAAGUGAUUUUUCAGCCUUGCUGCUAAUUUGAUUUCUUAGCUUAAUUUCAGGUUGCAAAGGACUUGUGCUUGGUGGAUUAAGGCGUCAAUAACUAAGCAUUAUUCCUCUCUUGAUAUUUUCUCCUCAGCAGUUUUAAUUUGAGCCAAAGUUUAUUUAUUACUUGAGACUAUUUUUAGCAAUCGUAAAACAUAAACUCCCCCCAUUUUUCCUCUCUUUAGUUUCGCAUGAUUUUUACAUUACUUUAAUUUUAAAGCGCUUCGAAUAGAUUUGUUGCAAGCUUCCUCGUGGGACGAUUCCCUAUUUACCCUAUAUUACAAGUUAAUGUAGGUUAAGAAUGUGAGUUUAAUUUGGCAGACGUAAACGACAGUUACCAGGGAUUAGUGAGUGGAGGUAUGAUCUAUUAACUGUUUUGUAAGGUUUCUCAAUGGAUCAACUAUCUGGGAAAGGAAGAAUAUGAAACAAACCUAGGCCUGAUAACCCUGGGAACUCAUCAAGGUGAGAAUUAACCUAAAAUUGGUAUGGCCUAUCCGUGAACACCUUUACCCCAAGCUAGUCUAGACUGUGAGGUCAGAAGAUAAGUAGUUCUUGCUGAGUCGUUAUGUUAAUGGAAGAUCAAAAAAUCUUGCUAGGGUAGCGACUAGUGGAUUGGUGAGGAACCCGAAAUGACUGUUGAUGGGGAUUAUCGAAGCGAGCUAAUCACUCAGAAUCAAGAUUUGAUUCAUUAUAUUCUCCUAUCUCUUGAAAUUUGAUUUUGUUUAUGUUAUUUUAUUUUAUUUUUAUAAAAACCCUAAAAAAAUCCUUUUCUUAUGUUCUUGUACUAUAACUGAUUUAACGUACUAAUUAGAUAUUUUAGUGUUUAAGUUAGAAUUGAUCUAUCACUCACCUCCCUUGGGUAUGAUCC